rnacentral:rRNA from 1 species
AGACGGAGGGUGCAAGCGUUAAUCGGAAUUACUGGGCGUAAAGCGCUCGUAGGCGGCUUGUUAAGUCGGAUGUGAAAGCCCUGGGCUCAACCUGGGAACUGCAUUCGAUACUGGCAGGCUAGAGUAUAGUAGAGGCAAGUGGAAUUCCGGGUGUAGCGGUGAAAUGCGUAGAUAUCCGGAGGAACAUCAGUGGCGAAGGCGACUUGCUGGACUAAUACUGACGCUGAGGAGCGAAAGCGUGGGGAGCAAACAGGAUUAGAAACCCCAGUAGUCC